rfam:Aedes albopictus isolate Foshan contig13109, whole genome shotgun sequence.
UAGCCUAGUGGUUAAGGCAAUGAAUCGCCAAUCCAGAGACGGCGGGUUCGAUUCCCGU